GGUUAAUAUUCCUGUACUUGGUGUUACUGCGAAGGGGGGACGGAGAAGGCUAUGUUGGCCGGGCGACGGUUGUCCCGGUUUAAGCGUGUAGGCUGGUUUUCCAGGCAAAUCCGGAAAAUCAAGGCUGAGGCGUGAUGACGAGGCACUACGGUGCUGAAGCAACAAAUGCCCUGCUUCCAGGAAAAGCCUCUAAGCAUCAGGUAACAUCAAAUCGUACCCCAAACCGACACAGGUGGUCAGGUAGAGAAUACCAAGGCGCUUGAGAGAACUCGGGUGAAGGAACUAGGCAAAAUGGUGCCGUAACUUCGGGAGAAGGCACGCUGAUAUGUAGGUGAAGUCCCUCGCGGAUGGAGCUGAAAUCAGUCGAAGAUACCAGCUGGCUGCAACUGUUUAUUAAAAACACAGCACUGUGCAAACACGAAAGUGGACGUAUACGGUGUGACGCCUGCCCGGUGCCGGAAGGUUAAUUGAUGGGGUCAGCGCAAGCGA
rnacentral:rRNA from 1 species